rnacentral:lncRNA from 1 species
GGAGCAUUUCCAAGGGUGAAAUGACACUAAUUACAUUAUACUAACACUAAUUACACAAUGAGAUUCUACCAUAGGUGGGUGCAAUGACAUGCUUAUAGCUCCCUGUUCCUGCAUGGUAAACUACAGAGCCAAUUUAAUCACGCCAAACAUCAAAUAAGGGUCUUUCAGCUUUGCUAGUUACACUGCCUGUAAAUCAAGAAAGAACAAUAUCACAAUGCAGGCAUCAUCGACGUGACGAUUGGGAACAAGUGAUAACAAAUCUAUUGCUAGACGAUGCAAUGGCAGCAAUAUUUUACCACAACGAAUCCACAAUCUUACGUUAAUCAAAAUGAAGUGGGGAGAAUACAAGUAUUGACUCGAUACAAGAAUCAGCAUGGGAAACCUUAGACACAGACCAUGCAACAAUUAAUACUUUGACCCCUUCUUCUGCCAAUAGGAGAAAAAGUGUGAUAAUUCUCCUUAUAAAAUAAACUAUACCAUCUCAUUACAAAUAAUUUUCCAAAGCUACUUUUAACCAACCACUGGUCCACAGUACAAAUCCACAACAUACUGACACUACGAAAGCCUUCAGGAUCUCAGUUAUAUUACUUAUAUAUGAAAUAAGAUUACAAAUAACAGGAUUCUCACUCAAAACAGGAAAGAUAAACAUGCAUGGAAGUACAUACCUCGGCAGAUGCUGGAAUCAGAGAUUCCCUGUCAAAUAAAUUUCACAAAAAAUAUUAGUUUGCUGCAUCUAUAUGUAAUUACACAGUUCUUAACAAAUCAAAAUUACACUGAUAUUACCUUGGCCUAUCAGACUUUGCAAUAUGUUUAGACAUUAUUGAUGCCUGCAAUAUAACACAUUAUCAUAUUAUUCUCAAACGUAAACAUGCAUUGCAUUGUCAAUAUAAACACAACAGAGCUACGCAAACUACUGUCAUACAGUUCUAUUGAAAAGCACGAUUAAGUCAAAAAAAACUUGGAUUUGUUCAAAGAGAAAACCAUUUGUUACUAAAAGGAUGUAUGAGGAAAAACUUUUUAGACCCCCAAUAAAAAAAAGAUCAACAAGUAUAUUGAUCCAAAGUUCUUUAUAUUUUUUUUAAGAAAAGAAGGCAUGUAGAUCAAGAAACACUGCAAAAUUUAAUGAUAAUGCAAAAUUUAUUUUAAUUUAGAGUACCUGAACAUGAAAUUUCAUUCAACCUAGUAUAAAGAUUCAAGAGAGUAACGCUGCUACUCUCUUCUGCUUAAGUGCCUGCUUUACCUUGCCGAGAAACUUGUGCUUUACUUCCUAAAGAAGCACCAAAUCUCUUGUUUCGCUUUAAUAGCCCUUAGGUUUCUUUUACUUAAGUUGUGUUUUUAAAGCACUUUUGUACUUCAGUCAAACACCAUAAAAAAUCAAAAGAUUUUUUUACUAGAGCAGCUUCUGUAGAUUUUACAUAAUAAUCUACGCCUUGCACGGUUGCACCUAUCUUGUAAUUGCAAUUGCAAGAGUGCAAAACAUUACCUGUUCUUGUAUGAUGCUCCUUUAUUCUCACACCGUUAUGAUAUACUUUCAUAGAUCAUCUACAUAGCUAAUUUUUGUCCAGGAUUAUAAAAUAAGUUUAACAAGUAGAGGAAAUGUCAUAAUAUAAUGUUUCAUAAAUAAAACCUUCCUCUGGCUGCCAAUAUUAAAUACUACUUAGUUUGAUUAGUCCCUAUGGCAUAAAAACUUCGUUUCUUCUAGGAGCAUUUCCAAGGGUGAAAUGACACUAAUUACAUUAUACUAACACUAAUUACACAAUGAGAUUCUACCAUAGGUGGGUGCAAUGACAUGCUUAUAGCUCCCUGUUCCUGCAUGGUAAACUACAGAGCCAAUUUAAUCACGCCAAACAUCAAAUAAGGGUCUUUCAGCUUUGCUAGUUACACUGCCUGUAAAUCAAGAAAGAACAAUAUCACAAUGCAGGCAUCAUCGACGUGACGAUUGGGAACAAGUGAUAACAAAUCUAUUGCUAGACGAUGCAAUGGCAGCAAUAUUUUACCACAACGAAUCCACAAUCUUACGUUAAUCAAAAUGAAGUGGGGAGAAUACAAGUAUUGACUCGAUACAAGAAUCAGCAUGGGAAACCUUAGACACAGACCAUGCAACAAUUAAUACUUUGACCCCUUCUUCUGCCAAUAGGAGAAAAAGUGUGAUAAUUCUCCUUAUAAAAUAAACUAUACCAUCUCAUUACAAAUAAUUUUCCAAAGCUACUUUUAACCAACCACUGGUCCACAGUACAAAUCCACAACAUACUGACACUACGAAAGCCUUCAGGAUCUCAGUUAUAUUACUUAUAUAUGAAAUAAGAUUACAAAUAACAGGAUUCUCACUCAAAACAGGAAAGAUAAAC